rnacentral:rRNA from 1 species
CCCUACGGGGUGCAGCAGGCGCGAAACCUUUACAAUGCACGCAAGUGUGAUAGGGGAACCCUCAGUGCUCAUGCUUUGCAUGGGCUUUUGCCAAUAGUAAACAUAUUGGCGAAUAAGUGGUGGGUAAGACUGGUGCCAGCAGCCGCGGUAACACCAGCGCCACGAGUAGGGACCAUUUUUAUUUGGCCUAAAGCGUCCGUAGCUGGUUUAGUAAAUUUUUUGUGAAAUCAUUAGACACAAUCUAAUGGCGUACAGGAAAGACUGCUAGACUUGGAACCGGGAGGAGUCAGAGGUAUUUCUGGAGGAGCGGUAAAAUGCUGUAAUCCCAGGAGGACCGCCUGUGGCGAAGGCGUCUGACUAGAACGGAUUCGACAGUGAGGGACGAAAGCUAGGGGAGCGAUCCGGAUUAGAUACCCGAGUAGUCCUAGCUGUAAACGCUGUGAGCAAGGUGUUGCACAUUCCACGAGAAUGUACAGUGUCGAAACGAAGGUGUUAAGCUCACCGCCUGGGAAGUACGGUCGCAAGACUGAAACUUAAAGGAAUUGUCAAUGAGCAC